rnacentral:lncRNA from 1 species
CCUUAUGGACUUUCUCAGCCAACUCUGUUCCCCCCUUUUCUGCUGCCUUUGGCUGAACUGCUAGCACCCAGUUUUCUUCAGGGCACCCCCACUGCCCCCCUCUGUGUCCCUGCUGUAAAAAGUGGGGCCAAAAGCUUCCUCUAGCCUCCUUAGUUAGCAUUCUGUUUUUUUUUUUCACUUCUCCAAAAUUGGUUGACUUCGCUCAUCUUUGUGUGUUCUUCUCUCUAGGUACCUCCUCGACCGCUUUAUGAUUUUUAUUACUACACAUCUUUGGAAAGUGGUGAACUCUAAGAAACAGUGUCCAAUCAACCACACUGAAUUGGAAGUCCCAAGCCAGAUGAUAGCACUCUCCUCUCGGACACUGGAUGAAUAGCUGCUGAGUAUCAGAAGAU